UAUCUCUGUAGAGUCUGCAUAUCAAUAAGCGGAGGAAAAGAAACUAACAAGGAUUCCCUUAGUGACGGCGAGUGAAGCGGGAAGAGCUCAAAUUUGAAAUCUUCAAGGUUCUACCUUGACGAAUUGUAGUUUAAAGAAGUGUUUUCUGUUAGGAUGAGUAGCAAAAGUUCCUUGGAAUGGGACAUCAUAGAGGGUGAGAAUCCCGUAUUUGGUUAUUCAUUCUAGCUUUGUGAUACACUUUCAAAGAGUCGGAUUGUUUGGGAAUGCAGUCCAAAAUGGGUGGUAAAUUUCAUCUAAAGCUAAAUAUUGGCGAGAGACCGAUAGCGAACAAGUACCGUGAGGGAAAGAUGAAAAGAACUUUGAAAAGAGAGUUAAACAGUACGUGAAAUUGUCAAAAGGGAAGCGUUUGACACCAGUGUUGUUUUUCCGAAAAUCAAUUAGCGAAUGGCUUGAUUUUGUGUUGUAUUGACCUUAUCAGCUUUCUUCACUUUUUUCGAGUCUUUCUUAAUGCACUUUUCGGUUAACAAGUCAACAUCAAUUUCUUUUGUUGUAAAAGAGUAUUCGGAAGGUGGCUUUCUUUUCGGAGAAAGUGUUUAUAGCCCUAUACUUCUACAAUCGGAGAGAUUGAGGUCUGCAGCGUAGAUCCUUCGGGGUUAGAUACACUUGUGCUAAGUUGUAGCUUUUCAUAGACAACUUGUUGACUAUGUUUAGUCAUGCGGCUUACUCGCUUAUGCUAUUUUACCUACGCUUAGGAUGUUGACUGAUAUGUAGUCGUA
rnacentral:rRNA from 1 species